AUCGUAAGUUCGUUGUUUGAGAAGAACGUUGUAGAGUGGAAAAUCUCCAAGUGACGGUAACUAACAGAAAAGGACGGCUANCUACGUGCCAGCAGCGCNGGUAAUACGUAGUCCCGNAGCGUUGUUCGGAUUUAUUGGGCGUAAAGCGAGCGCAGCGGUUCNUUAAGUCUGAGUUUAANGGCAGUGGCUUAACCAUUGUACGCUUUGGAAACUGGAGGACUUGAGUGCAGAAGGGNAGAGUGGAUUCCCAUGUGUAGCGGUGAAAUGCGUAGAUAUAUGGAGGAACACCGGUGGCGAAAGCGGCUCUCUGGUCUGUAACUGACGCUGAGGCUCGAAAGCGUGGGGAGCAAACAGGAUUAGAUACCCUGGUAGUCCACGCCGUAAACGAUGAGUGCUAGGCGUUAGGCCCUUCCAGGGGUUUA
rnacentral:rRNA from 1 species